rnacentral:lncRNA from 1 species
UAUCUCUCUCUCAUCAAUCCAUCUGCACCACAGGAAAAACAAACCAUGGCCGGCCGCCACCAUAACACCCGCAGAGAAGAAGAACACAAUCCGCCGCCGCCGCAAGUUCAUCACACCGGGCCUGCCCCACCAGUCCCCAAUCCUCAAGUUCAUCACACCUCCCAUACCUCACAUUCUCCCGCCCCACCUCAAGUCCCCAGCCACUCUCCCGCCCCACCGCACGUCCCCAGCCACUCUCCCGCCCCACCUCAAGUCUCCAGCCACUCUCCGGCAGCGGCGGCGCCCCAUCAUGCUCCGGCGGCGUCCACCCACAACGAGCUGGCCAAUAAACCCUCUGUUAGGGUGUAUUGUAAGGCUGAGCCCAAUUUCUCCUUGACAAUUCGUGAUGGCAAAGUUGUUCUGGCGCACUCCAAUUCCGCCG